rnacentral:rRNA from 1 species
UACGGGGGGGGCAAGCGUUGUUCGGAAUUACUGGGCGUAAAGGGCUCGUAGGCGGCCAACUAAGUCGGAUGUGAAAUCCCCAGGCUUAACCUGGGAACUGCAUCCGAUACUGGAUGGCUUGAAUCCGGGAGAGGGAUGCGGAAUUCCAGGUGUAGCGGUGAAAUGCGUAGAUAUCUGGAGGAACACCGGUGGCGAAGGCGGCAUCCUGGCCUGUUCUUGACGCUGAGGCGCGAAAGCUAGGGGAGCAAACGGG